UUUCUCGAGGGCUGCUAGAGUGGAAUCGGUGGAUUGAGCUUCCUUUAUUCUCUGGAUCAACUCAGGUUGAACAAUCAGGUGGGCCAAGCAUGUAACCCUCUUCAGGUCUUGAAGUCGUACCUGUUGUGCGGCCCCUAUUGCCUUACAUUCUGAAACCACAAGGUGAGCUAAUAUACUUGUACUUUUUCUGCUGAGUACGUCGGUUACCACGUUGCCCUCGCCUGGAUGAUACAAGAUGUUGCAAUCGUAG
rnacentral:lncRNA from 1 species